CUGAUUCGGACUCCACUCAGAUGCUUAUCACAUUUCCUGUAGCUUGCAGUGAAAUUUGAGAGAAGCAAGGCCUACCAGAGCGGGGUCGUGCACAGUGAAGUCUGUUUAAACAACGUUGGGUUCAGCAUAAUGAUUUUGUGUGAUAGCAACAGAAAACAAAGACAGCAGUCUCUAACAAAAACAAGCCAUGACUUCAACAGACUGAGAUUUUGUUCUGUUUGCUGCAAACCUAGGUGUGAGAAGGUGAAUGUAACCAAAGCAGGGAAACCUGGACCUUGGUUGGGAAAUAUUUCCCUACCUUCUCAGUUAGUCAGCAUGGAGAGCUUGGGAAGGGACUCAGAGCUGGGUCCAGGGCACAGCUGCCACUCCACACCAUCUCAUGGGGCUGUGCUCCUCCCUGUGGGGUUGACUGAGCCUUGAGUCCAGCCCUGGUGGAACGGGAUGUGGAGAAGUCCCGCAUGAUGGUUGUGACACCACCAAGGAGCAAAUCAACUGCUAUCUCCACAGCAGCCGCCUCCUCCAGGCACUGCUCUGAGGCAACUGCCUUAAAUGCCAUCCCCAAGGCAACUGCCCGCCCUGAGGUAACUGCCUUCCCUGAGGCAACUGCCCGCCCUGAGGUAACUGCCUUUCCUGAGGCAACUGUCUUAACUGCCCUCCCUGAGGUAACUUCCCGCCCUGAGGUAACUGCCCUGGGCGCCAUGUUGUGCCACUGGAGCAUUGGGCAGUCAUGGCCUGUUUCUCUGUGACUAGACAGAGCAAGGGCUGCCUCCAGAUCUCAGCUCUCAUCCUUGUUUGUGGGAGCACUCCAACCACCAUCUCCUAUCCCUUCCCAUGCAACACAGUGGGGUAUCCGUUCCUCUACAGCCCCUCUGCUGCCAUCUCUCCCCACCUCCUCCAUGCUCUUCUCUGCCUUGCUGCCUCCCCGCUUCUCCCUCAACCCUCACAAACCCCACACAACACCCCCAGCCCCUCCAUCCCAUCUGCCCUCAGCUCCUUCUUUUCUCCACAUUCACCCCGCAUUACCAUCACAAAGGGACUCUCUUCUGCAGCUUUUCACGAUCACACGCAGGUUGUUACCAGUAGGAGGGAAGAUAGGUAACUCCUAUAUUCAUUCCUGAGCCAAAUUAAUCACGUUUCAGACCACCUGGGCUCCACGGAACAGGUGCAGUGCUGGCCCCACGGGAGAUCCACCCCCUGCCUCGUGCAGAGCUUGGGGCUCGCUGCAAGAAGGGCUAUGCACUGCAGCCAAUGGUAGCAAGUCAGAAGGAGCACUUGUUCUUUUCUGCCUGUUCCACCCUUAAAACAGGAAGCUCUCCAUACAUUUGGCAGCAGGUGAUCUCACUUCAGGGGAUCUUUGCUCCAAGGAUGGACUGUUCUCAUGGUCCCCAUGCCCUGGUAGCUGGGCUCCCUGCUUGACAGGAUCAUCCCACAGCAGCACUGGGAGCUCUGCAUCUGCCCAAAUAUGCUCGCCUAUGUUUACACUGAGGAUGACUGGAAAGAAAUGUUAUUCUGGUUCCUGUUAGUUACUGUUUCAAAAUAUUACUGGAGUAUUAUUUUUUUUUAACUGUGGAAAUAAGUACCCAAAAUAUUUAAGUGUGUAUAGCUACAUGUACCCAC
ensembl:lncRNA